GAUGAACGCUGGCGGCGUGCCUAAUACAUGCAAGUCGAGCGAACAGACGAGGAGCUUGCUCCUCUGACGUUAGCGGCGGACGGGUGAGUAACACGUGGAUAACCUACCUCUAAGACUGGGAUAACUUCGGGAAACCGGAGCUAAUACCGGAUAAUAUAUUGAACCGCAUGGUUCAAUAGUGAAAGACGGUUUUGCUGUCACUUAUAGAUGGAUCCGCGCCGCAUUAGCUAGUUGGUAAGGUAACGGCUUACCAAGGCAACGAUGCGUAGCCGACCUGAGAGAGUGGUCGCCGACACUGGAACGGGGACACGGUCCAGACGACUGCGAGAGGCAGCAGUAGGGAAUCUGCCGCAAUGGGGGAAAGCCUGACGGAGCAACGCCGCGUGAGUGAUGAAGGUCUUCGGAUCGUAAAGCUCUGUUAUUAGGGAAGAACAAAUGUGUAAGUAACUAUGCACGUCGUGACGGUACCUAAAGAGAAAGCCACGGCUAACUACGUG
rnacentral:rRNA from 1 species